CAACAGAGGGCCGGCCCUGUUCAGCUGUCCCCCUGAUUGGAGCCCACACCGGGGCUGACACUGAAUUAUUUCAGGAGCUAAACGGUUCCCGACCCUGGAGAAGAUAGUCAUGUGAACGGAAAACUUAAAAGCUGAGAAUCUCUUGUCAAGAAAACAAGAUAUAAUUGGUCUCAGUCCUUGAACUGCUUGUGCUUCACACUCGUGUCUAAAGGAUCGGGUGAGUGCACCACUGCUGGCUCCCCACAUUCUGCACAUUCGAUGAGGUGACAGGGCAGUGAUGAUAUAAGAGCACAAAAACAGCAAUCUCCCAAGUCCUUAUAGGCAAAAGAACAGAGAAAUAGAGA